rnacentral:lncRNA from 1 species
CGCAUCCACCUUUAGCCUCAGAAAGGACUGGGCCUUGACCACAUUGAAUUUAAACCUCCACCGUGGUAAGUUUGCAUCUUCCAACCCACAGUGGCUUCACUCCUGGCCAGACACCAUUUCGCCACCUUCCUAACAGAGCGUGAUGUGCCCUCCUUGUGGCUCUCCGUUUUUGAUGGCCACAGAUUCUCUGCCUAGGUUUCUCCUUUUGGAAAAAACUUUCCAUAACUGUUCUGACCCUGCAAAGCCAUCUCAUCACAGUAUCAGUUUCAGAUAUCUCCGUUCUGUUUUGACAUGGCGGAGUAAGACAAAUACACCCAAAUGGCAGCUCCGGAGACCCUAGAACACAGUAAGUUAAAUUACCAUUUUUGCAAAUUCUAAGGUGUUCUCUCCUCAGCUGGUAAUUCCACCUGCAGGAUUGUAGAGAGGGCUGGGAGUUGUCUUCAUCUACACCAGUGUCACUGGGAGGCUUUGAUAACAAGGCCCCACCCUGUUGGCAUCUGCAUGGCCUCGGGAAGCAGCGCUCCCUUUUCCCCAGGGCCAGUUAUCUACCUGAACUCCUGUCCAGUGUCUGCUCUCACCUCAGAGCCUUUCUCCCCUUCCUCCAUGCAUGCCCCAAACCAUCAAAGAACCACUUUCUUUGAGCCCUCUGCCCAUCCCUGCCAAGGGAUGAUACAGGCCAAGAUUACUGAUACAGAUUUCCUCCCGCCACUACUCGUAGCUGCUGUUCACUGCCCAGCAUCUAAAGUGGGACCCAGUCAGCACCCACCAGAUAAAACUCUCACCAGAGGCCAAAGCGGAGACCCUGAGCAAAUUCCCUUCUGGAAGGGGACAAAAGAAGGGCAGGAUGCAGGCAUGCUGUGCUGUACCCUGACCCUCUAG